GGUGGGGUAACGGCUCACCUAGGCGACGAUCCCUAGCUGGUCUGAGAGGAUGACCAGCCACACUGGAACUGAGACACGGUCCAGACUCCUACGGGAGGCAGCAGUGGGGAAUAUUGCACAAUGGGCGCAAGCCUGAUGCAGCCAUGCCGCGUGUAUGAAGAAGGCCUUCGGGUUGUAAAGUACUUUCAGCGGGGAGGAAGGGAGUAAAGUUAAUACCUUUGCUCAUUGACGUUACCCGCAGAAGAAGCACCGGCUAACUCCGUGCCAGCAGCCGCGGUAAUACGGAGGGUGCAAGCGUUAAUCGGAAUUACUGGGCGUAAAGCGCACGCAGGCGGUUUGUUAAGUCAGAUGUGAAAUCCCCGGGCUCAACCUGGGAACUGCAUCUGAUACUGGCAAGCUUGAGUCUCGUAGAGGGGGGUAGAAUUCCAGGUGUAGCGGUGAAAUGCGUAGAGAUCUGGAGGAAUACCCGGUGGCGAAGGCGGCCCCCUGGACGAAGACUACGCUCAG
rnacentral:rRNA from 1 species